CAGUUCGACACAGCAACAAAACCCGAACCGUACCUCUUAGGCAAUAAAAAGAAAACCACCCCACCUCCCUACUACUACCACCUACCACCACCGCACUACCCCCUGGUCAAACGGGGCUUCCCCACCUCCCGACCCAUCCACCACGCAGCGCCGCCCACCCCCGGCCACCAACCACCCGACGCCGCCCGCCACCGGCCACCACCCUGCGCCGCCGACUGCCGGCCACCACCCUGCGCCGCCCGCCGCCCGCCACCACCCUGAGCGGCCCGCCCUGGCCACAACCAUGUGCCGCCCCGCCUCGGCCACCACCUGCCAGCACCGGAUCCAGGCCACGGCGGGCCCCCCGCGACGUCCCGGCGCCGGAUCCAGGCCAUAGCGCCCCCCCCCCCCCCCCCCCCGCGACACCCUGCUACGAGAGCCAGGCUGCGCCGGCCUCCCGCGCCACCGCCCCACCUGCUCCCCCUGCGCCGCCAUCGCCCGGAUGCGCCUCCAUCGCACACCGCACCGGUGUUGGAGGACACCGGCCGGGGGCAGCCCUGCACCGCCCUCCAAGCUCGCGAGGAUGGGCGCGCGGCUGGAUCGAAUCGAGGCUGAAGGCCUCCUUCCUUGCACCGUGACUUGUGCGGCGACGGUGACCUCUGUUCCCCUCCUCCCUCAACUCCCCUUCUGGUCGCCCGACGAGCUGCCCCUCCAUCCCUCGCAGUUCGCCGGCUCAUGCGUGCAGUCCACUGUGGGCAACAGCUGACCACCAUCACCGAUGAUGGAGUCCACACGCAUGCCGUACACUUGUCAUGGUCAAAGUGUGCGGCUUGCAGUUUGGCACAAGAGGGUAUGCAGUGCAGUUCAGUUCUUCGCUGGGCCGAUGUACCUCUCACUCCAUCCUAUGCGUUCAUCUCUACUCCUUGCAUGCAGUGCAAUUUUUUGUUCAUUUGCAGCUUCAGUUAGUUUCAGUGAGCUCUUGUGCGAUUUGAAUCUCCUGCAGGGAAAGAGCAGUAGCAAGCAUGUGGUAAUGUGGUUCAAUCUGCCAUGUAUAUAUGACUUGAUUGCAAUUUACUUUUUGGCCAGAUUCGCUAUAACGCGCUGGCUGGCCACCUUCCGUAGCCUCGUCGCGUCCUGCACCGACCGGAGGAGCCGCGUCCUGCAACCGUGCUCCCAUCUUCCUCCCCUAAACCAGCGUUGGUGUUUUGGCGCCUCCCCCGUGCAGCUCCGUUGUUGCCACCAUGAAGUUCAGCUAGCUCACUACUGCAGCAUGUCGCCGGCGGUGCACACUCUACACGCAUGUCGUCCACUUUGCCGAUUGUGAGGUUCGGUGUUUGCAUGCAGGUCAUCAGUUUGGUGCGGCGAGCUCUUGCAGUUCGGGCGGCACCUUGUAGUUCGGGGUGGCACUGGCCGAUGGAGCGCCACACUCCUGCGCCACCCCUUCGACCACUCUCUAGGGCCGGUGUGCCCUGAUCCGCUCAGUUGCCUCUGUCCUACCUCGAUCCAGAUCAGGAUCGAGCUCCUCGGUAGCUGCCAGCAGAGCUUCUUCUCCCUCGCCGUUGAGCUCCUUCUCCCUCUACCGGCAGAUUGGGGAGUCGCUGGUCAACGCACCGGCUAGUGGUGUCCUACGGCAGCCGCGCUUGCAGUGCAGUUUGGCGGCGAGCACACUUGCAGUGCAAUUCGACGGCGAGCCGUCUGCAGUACAGUCCGGCAGUGCUCGCAGGCUAGCAGUGUGCAGCUUGUUUCUUUUCUUUUCGCUUCAUCUUAUUGUAAAAAAAGUUGAAUCGCCUGUGACCUUUCGAUUGUGUGUCGCCUCCACCGCCAAAGUGUGCAUGCAUUUCAGUGUGUAGUGUUGUUGCGCGUUGAGCAACACUAAGGAUGACGGCGAGCAAGCGGUGCAGUCCAGUGGCUUCGCCAUACAAUUUGCCUUGAUUUGUCUUGCGGUUUAGUUAUCUCUCUGAUGUAGUUCAAUAAGUGAUUUUGGUUCCGACAAAAAAUUAUGUGGUUCGCUUUGUAAAAA